GGGCGUGGGACAGGCAAAUCCGUCCCGCAUGGGUCCGAGGUGCGAUGAUGGGGGCCUUAUGGCCCGAUAUCCGGUGAUCCCGGCUGCCGAGAAAAGCUUCGGCGUCAGGCUCAAAGCCGCCCGUACCCCAAACCGACACUGGUGGUCAGGUAGAGAAUACCAAAGCGAUCGAGCGAAUCCUGGUCAAGGAACUCGGCAAAUCACUCCCGUUCCUUCGGUUUAAGGGAGACCCCCGAUGGUGAACCGCCUCGCGCGGGGAGCUUUUGGGGGUGGCACAGACCAGGGGGUAGCGACUGUUUACCAAAAACACAGGUGCAUGCGAAGGCGCAAGCCGCUGUAUAUGCACUGACGCCUGCCCGGUGCCGGAAGGUUAAGAGGAUC
rnacentral:rRNA from 1 species